rnacentral:lncRNA from 1 species
GGAAAUGGCUCCGAGAGGCUUUGACGCAUGUGUACCUUUUUAGUGGCGGUAUCUCGGCCGGGGAUUUUCGGGCUCCAGUGGAGGUGGCUAUGCUCACCCCAUCUCCCUUGAGAGGCACAGAAGGGUCAGGUUGGCCAUCCGCAGGCGUAGUUGCUAGGAAGGUUUGACAGAUGUCCGCCUGUUGAUUCAGACGUUCCCAGGAUUUGGAGCAAGAAGAGCAAGGAAGGCCAGGCGCGGUGGCUCACGUUUGUAAUCCCAGCACUUUGGGAGGCCGAGGCGGGCGGAUCACGAGGUCAGGAGUUCGAGACCAGCCUGGCCAGCAUGGUGAAACCCCGUCUCUACUAAAAAUACAAAAGAAAAUUAGCCGGGUGUGGUGGCACAUGCCUGUAGUCCCACCUACUUGGGAGGCUGAGGCAGGAGAAUUGUUUGACCUGGCAGGCGGAGGUUGCAGUGAGCCGAGAUUGCGCCACUGCACUCCAGUCUGGGCGACAGAGCGAGACUCUGUCUCAGAAAAAAAAAAGAGCAAGGAGGUGUUGAAAAUGGGUUUCCUGGCUGGGCGUGGUGGCUCACGCUUGUAAUCCCAGCACUUUGGGAAGCUGAGGUGGGCGGAUCACUUGAGGUCAGGAGUUUGAGACCAGCCUGGCCAACAUGGUGAAACACCGUCUCCACUAAAAAUAGAAAAAUUAACUGGGUGUGGUGGAGGGCGCCUGUAAUCCCAGCUAAUCAGGAAGCUGAGACAGGAGGAUCGCUUGAACCCAGGAGGCGGAGGUUGCAGUGAGCCGAGAUUGCUCCAUUGCACUCCAGCCUGGGCGAUAGAGUGAGACUCAGCCUCAAAAAAAAAAAAAAAAAAAAAUUCGCCAGGUGUGGUGGUGUGCGCCUAUAAUCCCAGCUACUCAGGAGGCAGAGGCACAAGAAUGGCUUGAAUCACUUGAACCUGGGAGGCAGAGGUUACAAUGAGCCGAGAUGGCACCACUGCACUCCAGCCUGGGCGACAGAGCGAGACUCCGACUUCCCAUCUUAAAAAAAAAAAAAAAAAAAAAAAAGAAGUGUAAAGAUGUGAUUAUGUGGCAGGGGGUAAGGGUUAAAAAGAAAACAAGAACAAGUUUUCCUCUGCUUAGCCAGCUUACUUCAAGGACAGUUAUAACACUGAAAAGUCGAGGCCAAAGGAAUGGGCUCCAGACAGCCUCCUCCGGAGCAAAGUUGAAAAGAAAAAUUCCUUUACUGUCUCUCCUUUUCUGAACCAUUAAAUAUGACUGUUUGCCAAUGGUUGUAUUUAGUAAGAUUUGUAGACUCUGUUUUUCUUUUGACACAGCUGCAAGGCCAACAGCUGUGCAAAGCCACAAGUUAUGCUAAGUCAGCAGUUAUGCUAUAGAUUACAUGACCUGUGACUGUAUCAUUAACUGCUUUUGUUUUGCUUCUGUAAGUUUGCCUAUAAAAACCACACUCAGUCUUUGUUCAAUGGUCAGCUUUUCAGAUACAAAUCCACUGAGCCGGUGUACAUCUAAAUAAAUCCUCCUGUUUCCCGUGUCAGUCUCUCUGGUCCUUUGUUUCCUGCAACAAUUACAGAAAUGAGUGCCUAGCCGGGCAUGGUGGCUCACGCCUGUAAUCCCCACACUUUGGGAGGCCGAGGCUGGAGGAUCCCUUAAGCCCAGGAGUUUGAGGCCAGCUUGAGCAACAUGGCAAAACCCAGUCUCUACAAAAAUUAGCUGAGCGUGAUGGCCUGUGUCCAUAGUUCCAUCUACUUGGGAGGAGUAGGUGGGAGGAUCACUUGAGCUGUGGAGGUCCAGGCUGCAGUGAGCCGUGAUGGAGUCACUGCACUUUUCAGCCUGGAUGGCACAGCUAGACCGUCUCAAAAAAGAAAUGAGUGCAUGCUGUACCCUCUGCUUUUCUAUUUUAUUUACAUUUUACUGUGGAUUUUUAAUAGGUAGCAUAGUCACAUGAUACGUCAAAUGUGCCAAAGACGCCGGGCGCGGUGGCUCACGCCUGUAAUUCCAGCACUUUGGGAGGCUGAAGUGGGCGGAUCACGAGGUCAGGAGAUCAAGACCAUCCUGGCUAACACAGUGAAACCCCGUCUCUACUAAAAAUACAAAAAAAAAUUAGCCGGGCGUGGUGGUGGGCAUCUGUAGUCUCAGCGACUCGGGAGG